CAUGGACAGGAAGCCACUGAGCCUUUCCAGUCAUGGAGAGUGACACUCAAAUGACUGAAAAGGCUCAGUGGCUUCUUGUCCUUG
rnacentral:pre_miRNA from 1 species